AGGACUGUCUUGUCUGAACAGAUUUCUCUGUAAUUUUUUGGUCUUAAUGUAUGAUUCCAUAAUAAUAUGAUCCUAUGCUAUUGAUGUUUCAUUCCUCAGCUUCAUCCUUGAUCCUGUGUCUAUAACACCUGCAGCAUGGUUAUUUCAGAGCUGGGAAUUUCUGAUGUUUCAACACAGUAUAGUCAUCAAAACUGUUCUCCUGUGGCUGCUUUUGUUUUCUGGAAGUGCUGGAUCUUGUCUUGAAGUUCCUGCAAAUACAAGAGCUGCUGUAUUCUCCUGAGCACUGGCUGUUUCACAAAGCAGAAGAUUCUCCUGGCAAACUACAUAAACAUAUGUGCUUGGUGGGAUAAAGUUUUUCACUAGGUCUUGAGAAACAAAAAAGUCUGAAAUCCCAGAGCUUGGACCUUACCUGUAUGUAUAUCUGCAGGACACAGUAGCUUUUAUCAGAGCAACUGGAGGCACUGAAGAAGAUCAGAUCUCAAACUACACAGAGGAGUAAAAACGGUCUUCAAGAAGGGCAGCUGAUGACAGGAGAGUUCUAGAAGUAUUUCACACCAAGAAUUCGAAUCAGUGGAUAUACGAGAAAAUUUGUAGCCAGCAAGGCUGCCAAAACCUAUGAAGAA
rnacentral:lncRNA from 1 species